GACGAACGCUGGCGGCGUGCCUAAUACAUGCAAGUCGAGCGCAGGAAACUGACGGAACUCUUCGGAGGGAAGGCAGUGGAAUGAGCGGCGGACGGGUGAGUAACACGUAAGGAACCUGCCUCAAGGAUUGGGAUAACUCCGAGAAAUCGGAGCUAAUACCGGAUAGUUCAACGGACCGCAUGGUCCGCGGAUGAAAGGCGCUUCGGCGUCAACUUGAGAUGGCCUUGCGGUGCAUUAGCAAGUUGGUGGGGUAACGGCCCACCAAGGCGACGAUGCAGAGCCGACCUGAGAAGGUGAUCGGCCACACUGGGACUGAGACACGGCCCAGACUCCUACGGGAGGCAGCAGUAGGGAAUCUUCCACAAUGGACGAAAGUCUGAUGGAGCAACGCCGCGUGAGUGAUGAAGGUUUUCGGAUCGUAAAACUCUGUUGUAAGGGAAGAACACGUACGAGAGGAAAUGCUCGUACCUUGACGGUACCUUACGAGAAAGCCACGGCUAACUACGCGCCAGCCGCCGCAGUAAGAC
rnacentral:rRNA from 1 species